CAAGGUCACGUUCACGUUCUCGUUCAGCAUCAAGCAACAGCAGAAAAUCUCUGAGCCCUGGAGUCUCCAGGGACAGCAGCACCAGCUAUACUGAAACCAAAGAUCCCUCUUCUGGUCAGGAGGUUGCAACUCCACCAGUGCCACAACUGCAGGUCUGUGAGCCAAAGGAGAGGACUUCCACCUCCUCAUCCUCUGUCCAAGCAAGGCGUCUGAGUCAGCCUGAAUCAGCUGAAAAGCAUGUGACCCAGAGGUUACAGCCUGAGCGGGGGAGCCCAAAGAAGUGUGAAGCUGAAGAGGCAGAGCCACCAGCUGCCACACAGCCCCAAACCUCAGAGACUCAGACCUCUCAUCUGCCAGAAUCAGAAAGAAUUCAUCACACUGUGUAAGUGAUAUAUCUCGACCGGGGUAUAACAGGGAACUAUGAGUGUGCGAUAGUUCUUCGCUCCCUAGGGUUCUUUGACUAAGCAGUCCUAGUUUCCUUUUAAAACAUAAAGGCAGAGCUUUAUCUGGACAAAGGCUAGACUUCAGUUACUAUGUUGGGAGCUGCCACCUUUAAGGUAACCUGAAAAGUGGUCGUCAGGGCACAAGGAAAACUCACCUGGGAUCAUCCAGCCAAAAUAGUCAACUCCUUUAAGAUUUAGGCAAUAGAAGCUUCUGCUUCCACACUCAAAACCAUGUAAGGGAAUUGACUCCGGGCAUCUUAAUCUUUAACUCAUGUUUACCUAGGAACCCAGUU
rnacentral:lncRNA from 1 species